ACGAACUCUGGUAUUGAUUGGUGCUUGCAUCAUGAUUUACAUUUGAGUGAGUGGCGAACUGGUGAGUAACACGUGGGAAACCUGCCCAGAAGCGGGGGAUAACACCUGGAAACAGAUGCUAAUACCGCAUAACAACUUGGACCGCAUGGUCCGAGUUUGAAAGAUGGCUUCGGCUAUCACUUUUGGAUGGUCCCGCGGCGUAUUAGCUAGAUGGUGGGGUAACGGCUCACCAUGGCAAUGAUACGUAGCCGACCUGAGAGGGUAAUCGGCCACAUUGGGACUGAGACACGGCCCAAACUCCUACGGGAGGCAGCAGUAGGGAAUCUUCCACAAUGGACGAAAGUCUGAUGGAGCAACGCCGCGUGAGUGAAGAAGGGUUUCGGCUCGUAAAACUCUGUUGUUAAAGAAGAACAUAUCUGAGAGUAACUGUUCAGGUAUUGACGGUAUUUAACCAGAAAGCCACGGCUAACUACGUGCCAGCAGCCGCGGUAAUACGUAGGUGGCAAGCGUUGUCCGGAUUUAUUGGGCGUAAAGCGAGCGCAGGCGGUUUUUUAAGUCUGAUGUGAAAGCCUUCGGCUCAACCCGAAGAAGUGCAUCGGAAACUGGGAAACUUGAGUGCAGAAGAGGACAGUGGAACUCCAUGUGUAGCGGUGAAAUGCGUAGAUAUAUGGAAGAACACCAGUGGCGAAAGCGGCUGUCUGGUCUGUAACUGACGCUGAGGCUCGAAAGUAUGGGUAGCAACAGAUAGAUACCCUGGUAGUCAUACCGUAACGAUGAUGCUAGUGUUGGAGGGUUCCGCCCUUCAGUGCUGCAGCUAACGCAUUAAGCA
rnacentral:rRNA from 2 species